rnacentral:sRNA from 1 species
UUUUGAAAGUAAUGUUAAAUUAGAUUCAAAAAAAAAAUAAACGUUUUUACAACUAGUGCAUCGUUUGGUUUAUAUGAAAAGGAUUGAAAUCAGAAAAUUGAAUGAACAACUUGGAGA